AUCCUUGAAAUAGAGGUAAAAUUCUGCAUUCAAAGGAAUUCAAACCUAAACUCUAAAUCCAUGGGAAUAAAAAAGGAUUAGAUACCCUUCUAUACUUGGAAACCCACCUCUAAUUAGUAAGAGUUAUCAUUCCGAAAUUUAAAAAGUUUGGCGGCUUCUAGUAUAACCAGGGGAAUUUGUGCCUUUAUCGUCAAUACGCGUUACACCUUACUUAACUCCAGCUUGUAUACCGCCGUCUAAAUUCUUUUAUUAAAAAGAAAUUUCAACCAGAAAUAAAAACGCCAGGCCAUGGUGCAGCAUAGUUAAGGAGGUCACAAAUUACAUUUUACUUAGAACUGAAUCUUAAGCUAAAUACUUAAGUGAAAGUGGACUUGUAAGUAAUUACUGAUUAGAAUACAGUAGUAAAUCUAAACCUAGAAGUGUACAUAUCGCCCGUCACUCU
rnacentral:rRNA from 1 species